rnacentral:ncRNA from 2 species
AACGCUCUAACGGGGUGCCAUUUGUUCCCAUGAAUGGCUGAGAGGUUUUUCAAAAAACCAACCCGCUGAACCUGAUCCGGUUUGCACCGGCGGAGGGAUUAGAUGCUGCUCUGCG